ACCACUUUUGAACUUUAAUACCUAAACUUUUUAAUUCUGAGACGCUCCUCCGGCGGUGCGUCGUGACGAAAAGUUGCUGGCAUUAUUUUUGCAGAGUUUAGCCGCCGCCUUUACAUUUCGUUACGUCUUCCUCUCGGUCAUUGAGUGGCAUCCCUUUAGACACCUGUGGCGGAGAUGACGCGGGCAACACGACAUGGUUAUAGAAGUUUUCCUUCACGCAUUGCUUCCAACUCCCGAAUUUAGUUGUAGUGAGGCUGAGGUGGCGCUGGUGGCGGCUGAGUACUCGCCUUUCUAACCUAAGUGAUACCAGAGUUCGUCCUCUUUAAGUUUGAAAUAGUCAAACUUAUAUCAAUGUUUAAUAUCGAGUUUCUUACAAAUAUAAACAUUUUUCAAGGUUCGUCCAUCUACAUUCACUUGAGUAUUACAUGUAUUUUAAAAAGACUUCCCUCAAAUACGUAUCUACUAAACUAUUCAGGAUGCAAUGCGCGUAGUUUCACGGAUUCUCUGACUUUACUGUGAAUAGAAAAUCUUCCUCACAGAUAUACCGUUGUCAGAUUCGUUAUGGUGUGCGGAGAUGGCCGGAUAUGUGGUGGUGGAAAGGUGGACGAAAGGGAGACACGGUGGAAGACACGAAAGAAGGAGAGUGGGUUGGACAGAAAGAGGGAGGGAGCGCUUGUUCUACAUAACAAUACAUAAAAAGACAAUGAUUUUUAAAGUGUACUGAGAUCUAUUAUGAUUAAAACCUUGAGUAAUGUUAUCAAAACCUUCUAUACUUCAUCACGAAGGCCACGAAAACUACAUAAGGACGGACGCAGAGCCGAGAGGAGGGAGGGAGUGAGGGAGGGGCGGAGGGCGGUAGUGUAGUUAAGAUGAGGCGUUGGUGCUGUUGCUAAACUAUACGUACAUCCAUUGUACUUUUAAAACCAUAAACCAUACUAUUACAACACUAACUUUCAUCACAAACCAUCAAGACUUAAAAAAAAAUUACAUACAAGGUUAAAAUAAUGCAGGAAAUUAAUCAUGAGGUGGCACCUUCAUGGAGGGUGGCACACGUCAGGGAGGUGUAUCACUCCGCCAGCAGCAAACUUGACGUCAUGGGCCAGGGCAUGCAGCGGCGUGCAGUGCGUGGGUAUGGUGACUGUGUGGCCUCUGAUAUAGAGGUGUAUGAGCUGCUGGACGAGAGAAGAGCAAACUAAAAGUAAACAUGGGAUUGCUGCCGCCUCAGGACACUAGGAGCAUUGCGGAAGCGCUGAGGAAGACAUCACAACCCUUGACACAGCGAACACAACUCUGUACUGAGGCUGGCACUGGCUUCUCCCAACACCUCACGUGGUCAUUGCAACAAAAGGAGGAAAUAUCGUCACCAGCUUACGUUCGCGGCCACAAGUGAUCCGCCACUCACACUGAUGCCCACUGCGCUCCACCCCGACCCCGCGACUCGCCUCAGGCUCAUAUCCAGAAACGCUUUGCUCUCUCAUCGCGACUGUUUUUAAGAGGUCACAAAGAUUUGUAGCUGAAAAUUGAAGAGAUAUU